AGAGAGAGACAUGCGCGCAUAUCAAUAAGCGGAGGAAAAGAAACUAACUAGGAUUCCCUCAGUAACGGCGAGUGAAGCGGGAAGAGCUCAAAUUUGAAAUCUUCAAGGUUCUACCUUGACGAAUUGUAGUUUAAAGAAGUGUUUUCUGUUGAAGUUUUGGUAAAAGUUCUUUGGAAUAGGACAUCAUAGAGGGUGAGAAUCCCGUAUUUGACCUUUACUUUCAACUUUGUGAUACACUUUCAAAGAGUCGGAUUGUUUGGGAAUGCAGUCCAAAAUGGGUGGUAAAUUUCAUCUAAAGCUAAAUAUUGGCGAGAGACCGAUAGCGAACAAGUACCGUGAGGGAAAGAUGAAAAGAACUUUGAAAAGAGAGUUAAACAGUACGUGAAAUUGUCAAAAGGGAAGCGUUUGACACCAGUGUUGUUUUUCUGAAAAUCAAUUAAAGAACUGUUUAUGCUAAGUUGUUUAGGCUUUAUCAGCUAACUGUUUAGUUUUGAGCUUUUCUUUAAUGCACUUUUCAGUUAACAAGUCAACAUCAAUUUCUUUUGCUGUAAAAAAGCUUGAGGAAGGUGGCUUGAGAUUCGUCUUAAGUGUUUAUAGCCUCUUGCCUAUGCAGUCGGAGAGAUUGAGGUCUGCAGCGUAGAUCCUUCGGGGUUAGAUACAUUUGUGCUAAGUUAUAGCCUUUCAUAGACAACUUGUUGACUAUGAUCAGUCAUGUAGCUUACUCGCUUAUGCUAUUUUACCUACGCUUAGGAUGUUGAUGUGAUACUGCGAGCA
rnacentral:rRNA from 1 species